CAGCAUGUUUCCAAGGGCUGUGGUUGCUGGUGGCCACGAGUUCUCCAACUGCAUGCGAGAGCAACGUGGAGGGACUUUGACAGCCCGGGUCACACCGCACCUGCAGCUGCCACUCGCCUUUCCUAUAAAC
rnacentral:snoRNA from 12 species